UGUGUGUGUGUGUGUGUGUGUGUGUGUGUGUGUGUGNCACACACACACACACACACACACACACACACAGACACACA
rnacentral:miRNA from 14 species